rnacentral:rRNA from 1 species
AUUCACUGCAUACCCUUAAAGCACUAAAUCCCAUCUGAUCUUGGAAGCUAAGCAAAGUCAGCCCUGGUUAUUACUUGGAUGGGAGAGCUCCAAUGAAUGGCAGAUGCUAUGGGCC